CCUACGGGUGGCAGCAGUGGGGAAUAUUGCACAAUGGGGGAAACCCUGAUGCAGCGACGCCGCGUGAGUGACGAAGUAUUUCGUUAUGUAAAGCUCUAUCAGCAGGGAAGAAAAUGACGGUACCUGAGUAAGAAGCCCCGGCUAACUACGUGCCAGCAGCCGCGGUAAUACGUAGGGGGCAAGCGUUAUCCGGAUUUACUGGGUGUAAAGGGAGCGUAGACGGCAGUGCAAGUCUGGAGUGAAAGGCCGGGGCUCAACCCCCGAACUGCAUUGGAAACUGUAUGGCUGGAGUGUAGGAGAGGGAAGUGGAAUUCCUGGUGUAGCGGUGAAAGGCGUAGAUAUCAGGAGGAACACCAGUGGCGAAGGCGGCUUACUGGACGGUGACUGACGUUGAGGCUCGAAAGCGUGGGGAGCAAACAGGAUUAGAUACCCUGGUAGUC
rnacentral:rRNA from 1 species